rnacentral:misc_RNA from 1 species
UUUCCGUAGGUGAACCUGCGGAAGGAUCAUUACUGAGUUAGGGCCCCUCGGGGUCCAACCUCCCACCCGUGUUUAACGAACCUUGUUGCUUCGGCGGGCCCGCCUCACGGCCGCCGGGGGGCAUCUGGCCCCGGGCCCCCGCCCGCCGAAGCCACCUGUGAACGCUGUAUGAAGUAUGCAGUCUGAGACAAUUAUUAUAUUAAUUAAAACUUUCAACAACGGAUCUCUUGGUUCCG